GAAAACGUUGCUAUAAAGUAUAGCACUUCAUUCCUCUGACUGCAGUUUGAGUCGUCUGGCAUCGAGCUACAUUAUGCUUUCUCGUUGGGGAAGAGAAGUUCAAGUUUUGGGUGGAGCUGACAGAUGGAGGGAUUCAUACCAUACAAAACAGGUGAUGGAAAUCUUCCAGUGACAUGAGAGGAAGUUCCCACCCCUUCAUUUGAUGGAUGGACUGAGACACAGGUG